rnacentral:rRNA from 1 species
GCGUGGAGGAUGAAGGUCUUCGGAUCGUAAACUCCUGUCAGACGGGACGAACGGUCGUCGGUAAAUAAUCGGCGACCUUGACGGUACCGUCAGAGGAAGCCCCGGCUAACUCCGUGCCAGCAGCCGCGGUAAUACGGAGGGGGCGAGCGUUAUUCGGAAUUAUUGGGCGUAAAGGGCGCGUAGGCGGCUUUGUAAGUCAAAGGUGAAAUCCCUCGGCUCAACCGAGGAAUUGCCUUUGAAACUGCAAGGCUUGAGGCCGGGAGAGGGUAGCGGAAUUCCCAGUGUAGCGGUGAAAUGCGUAGAUACUGGGAGGAACACCGGUGGCGAAGGCGGCUACCUGGACCGGUACUGACGCUGAUGCGCGAAAGCGUGGGGAGCAAACAGGAUUAGAUACCCUGGUAGUCCACGCUGUAAACGAUGGGUGCUCGGUGUCGCGGGUAUCGACCCCUGCGGUGCCUUAGCUAACGCGUUAAGCACCCCGCCUGGGGAGUACGGUCGCAAGGCUG